GGUUCCAUCGUAUAGCGGUUAGCGCUCAGGACUCUGAAUCCUGUGGCUCGAGUUCAAAUCUCGGUGGAACUU